rnacentral:lncRNA from 1 species
AUGUGUGUGUAUUCUGUGCCUGUGGAGUGUGUGUGUAUGCUGUGUCUGUGGGAUGUGUGGGGUGUGUGUGUGUGUGUGUAUGCUGUGUGUGUGUGGUGUGUAUGUGUGUGUGUGUAUAUUCUGUGCCUGUGGGAUUUGUGUGUAUGGGGUGUGUAUGUGUGUGUAUAUUCUGUGUCUGUGGAAUGUGUGUGUGUAUUCUGUGUCUGUGGGAUGUGUGUGUGUGUGGCAUGUGUGUGUGUGUAUUCUGUGCCUGUGAGAUAUGUGUGUGUGUGGUGUGUGUAUUCUGUGGCUUUGGAAUGUGUGUGUAUGUGUGUGUAUUCUGUGCCUGUGGGAUGUGUGGUGUGUGUGUGUGUAUUCUGUGCCUGUGGGAUGUGUCUGUGUGGUGUGUGUAUUCUGUGCCUAUGGGAUGUGUGUGUGUGUGGUAUGUGUGUAUCCUGUGCAGGUGGGGUGUGUGUGUGGUGUGUAUUCUGUGCCUGUGGGAUGUGUGUGUGUGAUGUGUAUUCUGUGGCUUUGGGAUUGUGUGUGUGUGUGUGCGUGUGGUGUGUGUAUUCAGUGCCUGUGGGAUGUGUGUAUUCUGUGCCUGUGGGAUGUGUGUGUGCGGUGUGUGUGUGUCGUGUGUGUAUUCUGUGCCUGUGGGAUAUGUGUGUGUGUGGUGUGUGUAUUCUGUGGCUUUGGGAUGUGUGUGUGUAUGUGUGUGUGUGUAUAUCCUGUGCCUGUGGGAUGUGUCUGUGUGUGGUGUGUGUGUGUGUAUUCUGUGCCUGUGGGAUGUGUCUGUGUGGUGUGUGUAUUCUGUGGCUUUGGGAUGUGUGUAUGUAUGUGUGUGUAUUCUGUGCCUUUGGGAUGUGUGUGUGUGUGUGGUAUGUGUGUGUAUCCUGUGUGUGUGUGGUGUGUGUGUAUUCUGUGCCUGUAGGAUGUGUGUGUGUGGUGUGUGUAUUCUGUGGCUUUGGGAUGUGUGUGUGUGUGUGUGUGGUGUGUAUUCAGUGCCUGUGGGAUGUGUGUAUUCUGUGCCUGUGGGAUGUGUGUGUGCGGUGUGUGUGUGUCAUGUGUGUAUUCUGUGCCUGUAGUGAUGGUGGCCGUGGUGUCGUCAGCAGCCGGGUUGUCAGGAAACAGCCAUCAGUUUCCUGCUGA